rnacentral:lncRNA from 1 species
GUCCAGAAACGCCCAGGAGUCCUCAGAGCUCUGUGCUGCCCUCCGGGCCGCUCUCCUGUGCUGAAGUCCUCAGAGCUCUGUGCUGCCCUCCGGGCCGCUCUCCUGUGCUGUUACCAACCUCGCAGAUCAAGAUGGUUAACUCUCAACUCCUUCUCCAGCACCAUGUCUGCCUGCACACUGCCGUGUUCCACCCCGAAGACAAUGGACUAAACUUCUGAAUUACAUCACUCUGGAGCUCUGUGGAGAGGGAGCAUGACUUCUUCAUCUCAGCACCACUGGUGCCACUCUGCAUUGAUCAGGGCAGAGCACCUGUGAA